rnacentral:rRNA from 1 species
AUUGAACGCUGGCGGCAGGCCUAACACAUGCAAGUCGAGCGGAUGCACGGAGCUUGCUCCCGGAUUCAGCUGCCGACGGGCGGGUGAUUCCUAGGUAUCUGCCUGGCCGUGGUGGCUUACGUCCGGACACGGGCGCUAAUACCGUAUACGUUCAUAUGGAGAACGUGGGGGAUCUUUGGACCUCCCGCUCUUUGCUGAGCCUAGGUCGGAUUAGCUAGUUGGUGGGGUAAAGGCCUACCAAGGCGACGAUCCGUAACUGGUCUGAGAGGAUGAUCAGCCACACUGGAACUGAGACACGGUCCAGACUCCUACGGGAGGCAGCAGUGGGGAAUAUUGGACAAUGGGCGAAAGCCUGAUCCAGCCAUGCCGCGUGGGUGAAGAAGGUCUUCGGAUUGUAAAGCACUUUUAGUUGGGAAGAAGAGCAGUAAGUUAAUACCUUGCUGUUUUGACGGUACCAAAAGAAUAAGCACCGGCUAACUUCAUG